rnacentral:ncRNA from 1 species
AUUAACAGUAGAUUUGGACUAGUAGCAAAAAGAUGUUUCAAGAGAGCUGAAGCUAGGCUGGGACUUUGGCACCACUGUUUUUGUGAACCUACCAUUUAUUUUUGAUUGCAAAACAAUCGGGCGCUGUCUCCUUAUCGACAGUUAAAGUGGACUGCACAAGGCAGUCAAUAAAGGUGGUACCGCGAAAUUACAGCAUUUCGUCCUUUUU